UGUUUGUUUGCUUGUGUGUGUGUGUUUGUGUCUUUCUUGGCCCGAUGAGCCUUGGCCAGGUUCACGGGCCUUGUCGACUGCGAUUACACCCGUUCUCGGACUCAUUAAGGCCAGAUCGCACGUCUGGCACGCCUCGUGCUCAUGAGAACGUGGUGCAGUGGCUCAAACAUGCUAAUGUGUGUUGUCUACUGGUUGAAAAGGUGGUGAAAGCUGAGAGAGAUGCUGAAACGGAGAGAGAACUGGCCGAGCCCCGACAUUUGAUCCAUCACAUUACAUGUGUGACAAGUCGCUCCUUCCGAAACAAGAAACGACGACCGCAAUCUGUGUCUGGAGCCGGAGGGAAGCGUCCGUGUUUCACCUCCCGGUGUCGGUGGAUCAGGAAUGGGCUCUGGAAUGUUAAUAAGGGAGGGAAAAGGCCAAACACGACUUAAAUGCCACACAGAUGUGGCAUAUCGGUGAUGCAAUCUCGCAAGGAAAUGAGGUGCGGCGCUUCCAGCCGCGGCGUUGUGUCGGAGGGCUGUUAACGUGACGACCGUACACAAGUGCACGCCCCUCCACCGCCCAUCUGGCUGUGAUUAUUGGCCAUGGCCUAAUCCAGCGCCGUGUCCCUUUUGACACAAUGGGGAAGGGCCGACUCUCUGUUGUCUCACUUCUUCUUCUUCUUCUAUCCCUCUUCUUUCGUCGCCGCCUCUCCUCCCCCCUCAUGCUCUCUCUCUCUUGCGUUCUCUUCCGACCUGUCUCCGUUUCGGCUCUGGUUCCUCCUCUCCUUUUUGCCCGGGUGCUGCUGCAUCUGUCACUAGCCGAGCGGCAAGCGUGGCGCUCUGCCAACGCUGACAGCUGGCAGAGAGAAAGGGAGAGACAAAUAAGCGGCAGAGGAAGAGAGGGAGAGGGGAGGGCGGUCGAUAAAUAUCUACACGGGUCGAACAUUUCUAAUAUCACCUUUCUGAACGCACAUAGAAUUACGGAGAAAUCGAUGACGGUCUGACGGAUGAGCAACAUAAAGGGUGGUGCAGCAACAACAACCUGCAGGAUGGAGCUGGUGUCUCUUUGUGUCCGUUAACCUUGGAGCAUUACUCCUACUGUUCUUACUUUCCCCUUUUUCAAAAUAUUGGUUUUCAUUUUUGUUUCUGGACGUAAUGGAGGAGGUUUAAAAAACGCUGUCGAUCCUUUUCCCCAAAUCUCUUUCAGUUGGCAGGCGGCCAUGUUUCAUGACGGGGGGGCACACUCAGGAAGAGAGCUCGAGUGGACUGAUCUGUUUAUUGACCUUUGUUUGUUUACAGGAGGAAAUAAAUAAUCAGAGGAUGGAUUUUCUGUCGUGUUGAGAGACUGCGGAAGGAUCAUUAAUCCUACAUUCCAGCUCAUUACCCCCAUAACUAGUCCUCCAAGUCGACUAAGCUGCCUUCCACAGAUGAGCCGAUCCGACUCCUCCUGUUAAACUGCUUUCUGAUCGGAUUCUAAAGUGAACCCUCAGUAACUUUUAGCAAAACACACAAUCUUCAAAAUAGUCUUUUUUUUUCUCUUUUUUUUCUAAAUUUUGUAAACAAAGGAAUGCAGAAUAAUACCUCAAAGAAGUUAGGGUAAACAGAACUUUACAUUCAGUCGUUUGGAGGUUGUGUAACUGACACGCUGUAUUUAUAUACAAAGAUUUCAAAUGAACAAACAACCACGAUAACAGCAAAUUAAGGUACAUUUAAAUAUAGUACGAAUUGAGACGUGGAAAAGUCAAAUCAUUCAUAAGCAGUAAAAUGCACCUCGGUUGGCUUUACUUGGAGGUUUCUUAGCGUUGCGUUCCUUCUAACAUCAGAAAGAAGUCUGAGGGUCUGACUCUGCUUCAAAGGUCACAACGUCUACUUCUUAUAGUCUCAUGGGUUUGACCCGUAGGGUCUGAGGUCGACUAACUUUAAGUACAUGUUGCUGUUUAUUAUCUGACUUUCAGUCUUUGAAUUUUUGAAAAAUCACUUCCUAAAUAAAAUGCAUUAUUAUUACCGUGAUAUAAUUGCCAGGUGCAUGGUUUGGCUAUAAGGCUUGUUUAGGUUUACCCAAAAAAACACCCGACUGGGGAGAGAUCAUUGGGUUAAAACAACCUCACUGUUUCAGUUCAACUUUAUUCAGGUUAUGGGAAACUAACAGCAGUCUCCUGCGUUAAAGGCAAAUGUGUUGUUGAAGUAUCCAUUGUUCUCUCUUGUGGGCCUGCAGCCAUAUACGUACAGCCCCACAUGAGGAUGGGCUGGUGGGAAGGCAGGUGGUUUUUUGGGAGUUUUUCCUGAUCCGAUGUGAGGUCCUGCGACAUGGAUGUCUAUGUGUACAGGUUGUAAAGCCCUCUGAGGCUAAUUACCUUCGCAUUGAAAAUGCCGGAAGGUUAUGUUUUGAUCGCCGUGUAUUUAUUUAUUUAUUUAUUUGUAUGCGUGUUAUUCGCAAAUCUCAAAAAGUAUUGAACCGAAUCGCAUGAAAUUUGGUGGGAUGAUUGUUUAUUAUCCGGGGACCAGUUGAUUAGAUUUUGGGAUCGAUCGGGUCAAAGGUCAAAGGUCAUGAACAGGUCAAAAUCUUUCGC